AUGCAGCUACUCAGUCGCUCAAGCUGGAAUAGAUUUCCCAUACCUUUCGUCGGUUUGGUUAUUGUGCUACUGGUCUCCUUGGCUUCUCACACCAGCUCUAGCACGGAGCAGGAGAAGAGCUCGCUUCUCCAGUUCCUCGCUGGGCUCUCGCGGGACGGUGGCCUCACGGUGUCUUGGCGGCACAACACCGAUUACUGCACAUGGAAAGGGAUCACCUGCAACCAAGAUAGGAAGGUCACCGAUGUUUUGCUGGCUUCUCAAGGCCUUGAGGGGUUCAUCUCGCCGUUCCUUGGCAACCUCACUGGCCUCUUACACCUCAACCUGUCGCGCAACUCGCUGUCCGGUGGCUUGCCAUUGAAAUUGGUGUCAUCCAGCAGCAUCCUUGUUAUUGAUGUCAGCUUCAACCGCCUGACAGGAGGCCUGAGUGAGCUGCCAUCUUCAACCCCUCCACGGCCUCUGCAGGUACUGAACAUCUCAAGCAAUUUGUUUACAGGAAGGUUUCCAUCCACUAUAUGGGAGGUGAUGAAGAGCCUGGUCUCACUCAAUGCCAGCACCAACAGUUUUACUGGACAGAUACCAACUACCCCCUGUGUUAGUGCGCCAUCUUUUGCUGUGCUUGAACUCAGUUUUAACCAAUUAAGUGGAAACAUCCCUCAGGGGCUCAGUAAUUGCUCCGUGCUGAAAUUGCUCAGCGUUGGCUACAACAAUCUCAGUGGAUAUCUUCCAGAUGAGCUUUUCAAUGUUAGCUCGUUAGAGCACCUCUCUUUACAUAGCAAUUGGUUAGAAGGAGAUCUCAAUGGCAUCAGCAAGCUCAUAAAUCUGGUCACCCUUGAUCUUGGGGGGAAUGAGUUCAUCGGCAAUAUUCCAGAGUCUAUAGGUGAUCUGAAGAAAUUGCAGGAGCUGCAUUUGGACCACAACAACAUGUCAGGGGAGCUGCCAACAGCUCUAAGCAACUGCACAAAUCUCGUAACAAUUGACCUCAAGAGCAACCACUUCAGUGGAAAACUUACCAAGGUCAACUUCAUAAGCCUGCCCAAUCUAAAAAAAUUGAUCUUCUUUUCAACGACUUCACCGGCACAAUUCCAGAAAGCAUAUACUCCUGCAGCAAGCUGA
rnacentral:rRNA from 1 species